GAGUUUGAUCAUGGCUCAGGAUGAACGCUAGCGGUGUGCUUAAAGCAUGCAAGUCGAACGUGAUCUCUUGGAUUCGUCUGAGGGUGAAAGUGGCGAACGGGUGAGUAAUGCGUUGGUGAUCUGCCCCGGAGUGGGGAAUAACUAUUGGAAACGAUAGCUAAUACCCCAGAUGUCCUCGUGUUUGGAAAGCGAUGACUAAAGUUCAGGCGCUCCGGGAGGAGCCGACGUCCCAUCAGCUAGUUGGUAGGGUAAUGGCCUACCAAGGCGCAGACGGGUAGGGGGCGUGAGAGCGUGACCCCCCACACUGGUACUGACACACGGACCAGAUACCUACGGGUAGCAGCAGCUAGGAAUAUUGGACAAUGGGCGAAAGCCUGAUCCAGCAACACCGCGUGGAGGACGAAGGCCUUCGGGUCGUAAACUCCUUUUUGGGGGGAUGAGAAAGGACAGUACCCCCAGAAUAAGGCCCGGCUAACUACGUGCCAGCAGCCGCGGUAAUACGUAGGGGCCAAGCGUUAUCCGGAUUUACUGGGCGUAAAGCGCAUGUAGGCGGUCUGCUAAGUCGGACGUGAAAGCCCCUGGCUCAACUAGGGGAGGCUGUUCGAAACUAGUAGACUAGAGGGUGGUAGAGGAGAGCGGAAUUCCAGGUGUAACGGUGAAAUGCGUAGAUAUCUGGAGGAACACCAGUGGCGAAAGCGGCUCUCUGGCCCACUCCUGACACUGAGAUGCGAGAGCCAGGGAGAGAGAACGGUAUUAUAAACCCCGGGUAUUCCUGGCCGUAAACGAGGUCCACUAGCCGUGGACGGGUACUGACCCCCUGCGUGCU
rnacentral:rRNA from 1 species